rnacentral:rRNA from 1 species
GUCUACAGCCACGCUACCCUGAACAAGCCCGAUCUCGUCUGAUCUCGGAAGCUAAGGAGGGUCGGGCCUGGUUAGUACUUGGAUGGGAGACCACCUAGGAAGACCAGGUGCUGUAGACG